GAUGAAGAACGUAGCGAAAUGCGAUAAGUAAUGUGAAUUGCAGAAUUCAGUGAAUCAUCGAAUCUUUGAACGCACAUUGCGCCCGCUAGUAUUCUGGCGGGCAUGCCUGUCCGAGCGUCAUUUCAACCCUCAAGCCCCCGGUCUUGGUGUUGGGGAUCGGCGAGCCUCCGCGCCCGCCGUCCCCUAAAUCUAGUGGCGGUCUCGCUGUAGCUUCCUCUGCGUAGUAGCACACCUCGCACUGGGAAACAGCGCGGCCACGCCGUUAAACCCCCAACUUCUGAACGUUUGACCUCGGAUCAGGUAGGAAUACCCGCUGAACUUAAGCAUAUCAAUAAGCGGAGGA
rnacentral:misc_RNA from 1 species